GUGUCCAAUGCGGGAAUCGAACCCGAGUCGUAGUGGUCGAAAACCAACCGGUUUAACCAGCCUUCCACCGACCCACCCAUCAGAUA